UUCUUUAAAAGUUUACUUAUUGAUUAGUUCAGGGAUAUCAAGUAUUCCUGUAAAGGGCAGGAGCUAUUUGGUCUUGGGUUCUGCUGACGACUUGAGGAAAUGUUUCUGGUGCGGUCUGUUCAAUGCUCAGCAGAGACUGAUGGGGAUAUCUGCAUUAGCUUCACAGAAAUGAUUCUACAGUUCGGAAGACACAAGUCUGAACUCGACUCCAAGU